UACGUAUGGAGCAAGCGUUAUCCGGAUUUACUGGGUGUAAAGGGUGCGUAGGUGGCAGUGCAAGUCAGAUGUGAAAGGCCGGGGCUCAACCCCGGAGCUGCAUUUGAAACUGCUCGGCUAGAGUACAGGAGAGGCAGGCGGAAUUCCUAGUGUAGCGGUGAAAUGCGUAGAUAUUAGGAGGAACACCAGUGGCGAAGGCGGCCUGCUGGACUGUUACUGACACUGAGACACGAAAGCGUGGGGAGCAAACAGG
rnacentral:rRNA from 1 species